CUCAAAUUCUUUUAAUUUAACCCUUUCUUCUGUUUGUUUUUUGUUUUGUUUGAGUUGCAAGGAGAGCCUGAAGAUAUCUCCAAAGAGAAGGCUCGUUUGGCUGCUCUUCAGGUUAAUGGACCUGUGUUGGUUGAAGAUACUUGCCUUUGUUUCAAUGCCAUGAAAGGUCUUCCAGGAUGGGCCUUACAUGUAAGUUCUAUUUCACAUUUUAUCAUCUUGAGGUACUCUCCUUUUGGGUUCACGAAAAGUGUUGUUUAUUUUAUGUCUGUUCUAUAAGACCAGUACCUUGAUACUAUGAAAAUAAAAAAAUAAGGAAAAGGACAAUUUCUCAAAACUGGUUGAUAAUAUGGUGGUAGAUCGACAAAUGAAAGCAGGGGGUCAUUCUAUAACAUUUUAGGAAUGGGUUCCCUUGUAUAUAAGGAUAGUUGCUGAAUAAGCAGUGUGUCAGAUUGUUCAUAUUAAAAUUUAAACCCACUUUUAUUUGUUGAUCAUAAAUCUGUGAUGGUAGUACUGUCUUGGUAGUGGAAAUCACUAUAUGCUACCAAUUUAUAUUUGAUUCACCAUUUGCGUAUGAUUCAUUUGUUCUAGUAAGAUUAUGACCAUAUACAUCAUCCAAAUGGUUAAGAAAAUGUUUUAUCUUGUCAGUUUCUAUUUCAACCCUGAAAUUAGCUCUAUCUAUCUGCGGAGCUGAGAAGUUGUACAAGUGGUCUUAAAGUUAAUUAUAUUUCUUAAGGGGUCUAGGCUCAAUGUUGAUGAAUUUAUUUAAAGUGCAUACUCAAAAUGGAUCUAUUGUGUACAUUAAAGUUGGAACUUCUUAUUGACGCAGCCUUAUUUGCAGUGUUCCAAUUGUACGAUAGCACAAUGAUUAUCUUUCUUUUUUUCCCACCUCCAUUUGACUUUCUGAAAUCUGAUUUUCUUCCUCUGCCCUUCUUCUGAAUUAGCCAAAUUCCACUCCAUCUUCUUCCUUCCGAUGAUAAGUGAUCUUUCUCAUAUGUUUUUUCAUAGACUUGUUCCAGUGGAGCUACUGAAUACUUUCGAACAAGGGUUGAAUCAAGAGUGCUAUGCUUUAUUAUUCACUGUGUUGUAGAAAUGCAUUUUCACUGCAACAACAAACCCAUCUUCCUACAAAUUGUUACAUGGAUUUUCGUUUGGCUUUGGGCUUGAUAUUGUAUCAUAAAUCCACUUAUCUCUUUUUAUCUACUUAUCUCUUUCUAUCCACUUAUCAAAAAAUUUCUCUCUCAUGGAGAGCAUCGCUUCUCUCGCAAGGAGAGCAUACCAGAACCUCAGGUUCUAUUCCUUGAGAACUCUGAUCUCAUCAACACUCAUUACUAGUUAUUUUAACUUUCUACCAUCACCCUCCUUCCUAUCUUGAUACCCCUAACCUUAACUGCCUUUUAAUCCAGCUGAAUAUCGGUACCAUUGUCAUUGGCAUACCUCACCAAACACUUACAAAACCAAACAUCAUAUAAUCCAUUAAGCUAACCCCCUACAUAACCAAUGGAACCCCAAAUUAUC